rnacentral:rRNA from 1 species
AGUGAACGCUGGCGGUAGGCCUAACACAUGCAAGUCGAACGGCAGCACAGUAAGAGCUUGCUCUUACGGGUGGCGAGUGGCGGACGGGUGAGGAAUACAUCGGAAUCUACUUUUUCGUGGGGGAUAACGUAGGGAAACUUACGCUAAUACCGCAUACGACCUACGGGUGAAAGCAGGGGAUCUUCGGACCUUGCGCGAUUGAAUGAGCCGAUGUCGGAUUAGCUAGUUGGCGGGGUAAAGGCCCACCAAGGCGACGAUCCGUAGCUGGUCUGAGGGGAUGAUCAGCAACACUGGAACUGAGACACGGUCCAGACUCCUACGGGAGGCAGCAGUGGGGAAUAUUGGACAAUGGGCGCAAGCCUGAUCCAGCCAUACCGCGUGGGUGAAGAAGGCCUUCGGGUUGUAAAGCCCUUUUGUUGGGAAAGAAAAGCAGCAGGUUAAUACCCCGCUGUUCUGACGGUACCCAAAGAAUAAGCACCGGCUAACUUCGUG